GCCGGCGCAGGCGCAGAGAGACACAACGACGUCUACUUUGUUCCUUGUGAAUACAUUCCAUGUGCUAUGACUUCAUUGUUGGAUGCUGAUUAGCUCCAGAAAGAAAGCAGUGUGAAAAAGAUGAAACACAGAUUUGAAAGCAAUCUUGAAGAUCAGACAGAAAACCAGCCUAUGAAUCAAAGAAGAAAAUCAAAAUCAGACUUCAUAACUGCUUCAGUAACCCUUGGCAACAGACAACACACUGGAUUUUGGCGAAUAACACUAAAAUUUUUGCUGGUGAGGUCUUCAGAAACUGGAUAGAUGUGAAACCACCAGAACAGAAGUGGAGCGGGCAUGGUAUCUGUUUCUUCAAUUUGUAGUUUUAUAGUCAAAAACUGGCAUGUAUAUACUUAAUUGGUAACAUGUAAGUCACGUGCCUCUAUCCCAACUCUAAGAGAGGUUGAGAACUUAAUUUCUGGCUUCUACCUUGGGAAGGAUCAGGCUUAUAAGCUGGAAAAUUAGCCAACAUACACAGGAUAUUCAAAGCUUCUAGGCAGUCAAAAUACUGUCAAGUGGUAAAACAGACAUGAAAAAACCUUUUUUUCUCUCCUAAAUUUAAAAAAAUAUAAUUUUUGUAAAACACUGUAUGUGGCUUUCCAUAAAAUUAAAAGAGUCUUGGGAGAGAG
ensembl:lncRNA LINC01986 long intergenic non-protein coding RNA 1986